UUUAUUGGAGAGUUUGAUCCUGGCUCAGGAUGAACGCUGGCGGCGUGCCUAAUACAUGCAAGUCGAGCGAAUGGAUUAAGAGCUUGCUCUUAUGAAGUUAGCGGCGGACGGGUGAGUAACACGUGGGUAACCUGCCCAUAAGACUGGGAUAACUCCGGGAAACCGGGGCUAAUACCGGAUAACAUUUUGAACCGCAUGGUUCGAAAUUGAAAGGCGGCUUCGGCUGUCACUUAUGGAUGGACCCGCGUCGCAUUAGCUAGUUGGUGAGGUAACGGCUCACCAAGGUAACGAUGCGUAGCCGACCUGAGAGGGUGAUUGGCCACACUGGGACUGAGACACGGCCCAGACUCCUACGGGAGGCAGCAGUAGGGAAUCUUCCGCAAUGGACGAAAGUCUGACGGAGCAACGCCGCGUGAGUGAUGAAGGCUUUCGGGUCGUAAAACUCUGUUGUUAGGGAAGAACAAGUGCUAGUUGAAUAAGCUGGCACCUUGACGGUACCUAACCAGAAAGCCACGGCUAACUACGUGCCAGCAGCCGCGGUAAUACGUAGGUGGCGAGCGUUAUCCGGAAUUAUUGGGCGUAAAGCGCGCGCAGGUGGUUUCUUAAGUCUGAUGUGAAAGCCCACGGCUCAACCGUGGAGGGUCAUUGGAAACUGGGAGACUUGAGUGCAGAAGAGGAAAGUGGAAUUCCAUGUGUAGCGGUGAAAUGCGUAGAGAUAUGGAGG
rnacentral:rRNA from 1 species